CAGAGAUGAGGCUUGCUGGAUACUAUCGUCUUUUGGCAGCAUGAUGCUGGUGAGGUGUGGUCUUGCAAUCUGGAAGAAAUCAAGGGAGCACUGAUGGAAAAUCACAAACAAUUCUUAUGCCCUGCGUGAAGAAAUAUAUCUGAGGAAUAUACUUGUGUGGAGAGAAUAUUAGUCAAAUAAAUGAGUGAAGUCCGGUGGAAGGAGUCUGAGGGACCUGUAGUCUGCAUGAUGGAUGGAACACAUGAGCCAUCUCCCCCGGUCCACCAAAUCUACCAUGAAGUGACAGAAGUUUAAAUCCACCCAACAGAGGAAAGAGACAUGAAAUGCAAAAGAGAGAUGCCACCAGAAGGCACUCGUAAAGGAGGGAAAGCCCAAAAAUGAGUGUGCUUACAUGAGGAAAGAUAAAAGGAAACAUAGAUUCUUGCCGAUGAAUGUGAGAAAGAAUUAGGCACAACCUGCUCUAGAAGUAGUGCAAAUGGAGUUGAAAAUUCGGGUCUGUAAUUGAGGCAUUAGAUCCAAGACACCUCCUCCAAUCAGCUCAGCUGUGAAUACUUCAGCAACUCUGGCAGAAGGUUGAA